rnacentral:rRNA from 1 species
AGAGUUUGAUCCUGGCUCAGGACGAACGCUGGCGGCGUGCUUAACACAUGCAAGUCGAGCGGUAAGGCCUUUCGGGGUACACGAGCGGCGAACGGGUGAGUAACACGUGGGUGAUCUGCCCUGCACUUCGGGAUAAGCCUGGGAAACUGGGUCUAAUACCGGAUAUGACCUCAUGUUGCAUGACUUGGGGUGGAAAGAUUUAUCGGUGCAGGAUGGGCCCGCGGCCUAUCAGCUUGUUGGUGGGGUAAUGGCCUACCAAGGCGACGACGGGUAGCCGACCUGAGAGGGUGACCGGCCACACUGGGACUGAGACACGGCCCAGACUCCUACGGGAGGCAGCAGUGGGGAAUAUUGCACAAUGGGCGAAAGCCUGAUGCAGCGACGCCGCGUGAGGGAUGACGGCCUUCGGGUUGUAAACCUCUUUCAGCAGGGACGAAGCGCAAGUGACGGUACCUGCAGAAGAAGCACCGGCUAACUACGUGCCAGCAGCCGCGGUAAUACGUAGGGUGCAAGCGUUGUCCGGAAUUACUGGGCGUAAAGAGUUCGUAGGCGGUUUGUCGCGUCGUUUGUGAAAACCAGCAGCUCAACUGCUGGCUUGCAGGCGAUACGGGCAGACUUGAGUACUGCAGGGGAGACUGGAAUUCCUGGUGUAGCGGUGAAAUGCGCAGAUAUCAGGAGGAACACCGGUGGCGAAGGCGGGUCUCUGGGCAGUAACUGACGCUGAGGAACGAAAGCGUGGGUAGCGAACAGGAUUAGAUACCCUGGUAGUCCACGCCGUAAACGGUGGGCGCUAGGUGUGGGUUCCUUCCACGGAAUCCGUGCCGUAGCUAACGCAUUAAGCGCCCCGCCUGGGGAGUACGGCCGCAAGGCUAAAACUCAAAGGAAUUGACGG